rnacentral:SRP_RNA from 1 species
CUGUUGGUUCUCCCGCAACGCUAACUUGUCAACCUGGUCAGGUCCGGAAGGAAGCAGCCAUGGCAGGUGUCGCGUGUGCCGGGAUGUAGCUGGCAGGGCC